CUCCCAGACCUGCAAGUAAGUAUCUCUCAUACUCUGCCUGAGUAUUUCUACACACUCUGUCUGUCUCAGGGAGCUGUGGCAGAGAUACAUGCAGAUCUAGGAGAGCCUCUCAGAGUUCCAGCAGACAGAAAUACCGGUCACUGCAUUGCCGGUAUUCCUGCAAUACCGGCUAUACAGCUCCAAAUAUCGGCUGUGCCGGUAAAAUACAAUUCAGGUGGCAACCCUAAAACUGUGCCAUACCUGACAUCAGGUGUCACAUACAAACCGUGCCAUACCUGACAUCAGGUGUCACAUACAAACCAUGCCAUACCUGACAGUUGUCACAUACAAACCAUACCUGACCUGACAAGUGUCACAUACUGAUGUGGAUAUCAAUCAAUAAAUUGAUUAUCUUGCGUAUCUGCCCUCAGCCAAAUUAAAGAAAUAGUGCGUGCACGCUCCUGAAGUAAUUCACACCAGACAGAAGUUUCGGGUUAUUGAAAAACUUGAGGAAUGUUUAUUCAGGGGGGGCGACAUCCC